rnacentral:tRNA from 1 species
UGGCCCGUGGUGUAAAGGUAGCACAAGUGGUUUUGAUCCACUUAGUCUUGGUUCGAAUCCAAGCGGGCCAG